rnacentral:tRNA from 1 species
GUCAUUGUGGCUGAGUGGUAAAGUGCUUGGCUUCAGAACCGGGUGUCCCAGGUUCAAAUCCUGGUGAAGACU